UACGGAGGGUGCAAGCGUUGCUCGGAAUUAUUGGGCGUAAAGGGUAGGUAGGUGGUCUCAUUUGUCUGGGGUGAAAGCCUUGAGCUUAACUCAAGAAGUGCCCCAGAAACGGUGAGACUGGAGUCCUGGAGAGGGUCGUGGAAUUCCCGGUGUAGCGGUGAAAUGCGUAGAGAUCGGGGGGAACACCAGAGGCGAAAGCGGCGACCUGGACAGGUACUGACACUCAACUACGAAAGCGUGGGGAGCAAACAGG
rnacentral:rRNA from 1 species